rnacentral:snRNA from 1 species
GUGCCUUAAACUAAUGAGUAAGGAAAAUAACCAGCCAGAAUUUUUGGAGGGGCACAGGUCGUCCCAGGGGCGUCCCGCCUACUUUUGCGGGAUGCCCGGGUUGUUGCGAUCUGCCCC